rnacentral:rRNA from 1 species
GAUGAACGCUGGCGGCGUGCCUAAUACAUGCAAGUCGAGCGAACAGAUGAGGAGCUUGCUCCUCUGACGUUAGCGGCGGACGGGUGAGUAACACGUGGAUAACCUACCUAUAAGACUGGGAUAACUUCGGGAAACCGGAGCUAAUACCGGAUAAUAUAUUGAACCGCAUGGUUCAAUAGUGAAAGACGGUUUUGCUGUCACUUAUAGAUGGAUCCGCGCCGCAUUAGCUAGUUGGUAAGGUAACGGCUUACCAAGGCAACGAUGCGUAGCCGACCUGAGAGGGUGAUCGGCCACACUGGAACUGAGACACGGUCCAGACUCCUACGGGAGGCAGCAGUAGGGAAUCUUCCGCAAUGGGCGAAAGGCUGACGGAGCAACGCCGCGUGAGUGAUGAAGGUCUUCGGAUCGUAAAACUCUGUUAUUAGGGAAGAACAAAUGUGUAAGUAACUAUGCACGUCUUGACGGUACCUAAUCAGAAAGCCACGGCUAACUACGUG